GCUUACAGCCAUAUCAUGUUGAAAGCACUAGUUCUCAUCCAAUCACUGAAGUUAAGCAACAUCGAGCCUAGUUGGUACUUAGAUGGGUGACUACUUGGGAAACCUAGGUGCUGUAAGCG